rnacentral:rRNA from 1 species
AUGGUCCAUGAUGAAGCAGGGGUCGCUGAUCACGCCGCGCCAUUGGUGGCACGUCCCGCGGAGCCUCUGCAGAGUGCUCACCGGAAGCCGGAGAAGUAUCUCGUGCAGGACGUCUGGUGUGAGGCGGCUGAUGCUUGCCAACUGAUUUUCGGUUGCCUGCUCGUGCUCUGCGUCGUUUAUGUCACUGGCCAUUUCCAAGCACCUUUUCCCCUAAGAAAGUUGUGCCUGACAAGUCCUGUAAUAUGCCAUAAAAUUGGAAGCUUAGGAACAUACAUAUGGUGCGUUGCUUUCAGAAAUGGAGGUGCUAGUAUAUCUAUAAUCUAUCAAGAUCGAUUCAGUUCUAGGAUCAUGCGAUCAUUUGGAACUUUUGACAGAAACAGCCAUUUUUCUAUGGGAACGGCUUAUCUGACCCAAAGUUAA